UGCCGAGCGCUCCUCGCGGGGCUCCCCGGCCGGGCACCGCCUCCGCACCCCGCUCCGCACCAUGCCCGGGGAGGGGGCGCGGAGCCGCGGGGAGGCUUCAUCCGGCUCGGGGCGGGGGGGGAGCGGCGGGGGGGCACGGGCUGAUGAUCGGAAGUUCCUGACAAUAAGCACCUUCAUCCCCCCCAAAGGCGGAGAGAGAGAGGGAGAGGAGGAGGAGAGACAGGGGGAGAGGAGAGCUGAUGCCUAAGCGAGUCACUCGGCGGAGGCAAGGCGGGCGGUACCACAACUUCCCGGCGGCGCGGAGCGGUGCGGAGCGGAGCUGAGCCUGCCGGCCGGAUCGCUCCCAUGUCAGGGCGGCGGUGGGGGUCUGCACUCCGCUAGCGGCAAGCCACCGACCUCCCCCUCUCCUCGCCCAGCGAUGUAUUCACUGCUCUCCGCCUGCACUUGCCUAUGUUUACAUUUCCUGCUGCUGUGCUUUCAGGUACAGCAUGGCGAAAUGAAGGCUGGGAGGAGAGCGGAGAAAGGGAGCAGCCUGAAUGCAUCACAAGGAGAAGCGCAAGGGGGAAAAGCGUUGUUCAAGCUCAAGGAUGCUGUUGGUACAAGAAUAAAUAGACGUAAA